AGCUCAUAUGAUACAGAGAAUGUUUUAUGUUGUUAUCUAGCUGUGAAAAUUAAGAAGAACAGAGAGAACGUUAAGUUCAAAGUGAGAUGUAGCCGUUACUUAUACACCCUGGUGGUCAAUGAUCCUGAAAAGGCUGAGAAACUAAAGCAGUCCUUGCCCCCUGGCUUACAAGUGAAGGAGCUGAAAUAAGGUUUUUUUUGAAAAUCAAUAAAUGUAUGCAGAAAUGUAA